AUACGGAGAGGGCUAGCGUUAUUCGGAAUUAUUGGGCGUAAAGGGCGCGUAGGCUGAUUAGUAAGUUAAGAGUGAAAUCCCAAAGCUCAACUUUGGAAUUGCUUUUAAAACUGCUAAUCUAGAGGUUGAGAGAGGAUAGAGGAAUUCCUAGUGUAGAGGUGAUAUUCGUAAAUAUUAGGAGGAACACCAGUGGCGAAGGCGUCUAUCUGGUUCAAAUCUGACGCUGAGGCGCGAAGGCGUGGGGAGCAAACAGGAUUAGAUACCCUGGUAGUCCACGCUGUAAACGAUGAAUGUUAAAUAUGGGAAGUUUACUUUCUGUAUUACAGCUAACGCGUUAAGCAUUCCGCCUGGGGACUACGGUCGCAAGAUUAAAACUCAAAGGAAUUGACGGGGACCCGCACAAGCGGUGGAGCAUGUGGUUUAAUUCGAUGCAACGCGAAAAACCUUACCACUCCUUG
rnacentral:rRNA from 1 species